AUGAAGAACGCAGCUAAUUGCGCGUCAACUUGUGAACUGCAGGACACAUGAACAUCGACAUUUUGAUCGCACUUUGCGGUCCACGUAUACAAUUCCCGGACCACGCAUGGUUGAGCGUCG
rnacentral:rRNA from 1 species